ACCAAUGACUAUGAUGAAGAAGAAGAGGAAAACCACUAUGCUUCUCGUGCCAUAUCCAAGAUGCAACCCAGGAGGUCUAGUGUAUCCAAGGCUUACUAGGAUGAUGAGAUGGGCAUGGCUGUCGUAUUUCCAAAGGGUAGAAUUUGGAGGACCAUGGGAAUCUCUCGUAAUGGCAAGCUCUAUAUCUCCAUUGAGGAAGUUUUGUAUUUGGUUGAAAUAGGGGCUUUGCUUCUCGUGGAUGGUAGUGAUACUAGUAUUUCCUUGGAAGAUAUAUAUACAAAGGUUUCAGAUGGAAAGAAUAAGUUCUCGUUGGAGGAAUUUAGAGCUUAUAGGCAACUCAGAUACCUUGGGUACAUUGUUGCGAGACAUGGUAUUCCCUGGUCUAGUAAGGGUGUCAAGACUAACUGUGAAUCUGUUUCUUCUCAAGUUUGCCCUGAAGCUGAAGAGAUUAGGUUUGUCAAUGGAUUGUUCAAUGGGAUACAGAU